rnacentral:rRNA from 1 species
AUGGAUCCGCGCGCCAGGUACCCUCCCGGAACCGGCAACGGUCGCGGCGGGAACCCUAACUACUACGGCCGUGGCCCGCCGUUGUCGCAGAACAACCACCACCACCAGCAGCAGACGUCGGCGGCGCACCAGCAACAAUACGUGCAGCGCCAGCCGCAGCCGCAGCCGCAGCAGCACCACCAAAAUAACCAGCAGCAGCACCACCACCAAAGUAACCACCAGCAGCAGCAUCACCAAAAUCACCACCACCAGCAGCAGCAACAGCAGCAGCAGUGGCUGCGGCGAAACCAGAUCACCGCGGCCGGGACCAGCGGGCCCAAGGUCGUGGCGCCACCCCCAGCGGCGGUCGGCAACGAUCCUAGUUCACAAGAUUGGAAGGCCCAACUGAAGCUUCCACCCGCAGAUACACGAUUCAGGACAGAGGAUGUUACUGCCACCAAAGGGAAUGAGUUUGAAGAUUAUUUUCUUAAGCGUGAACUCCUGAUGGGAAUAUAUGAGAAAGGAUUUGAAAAGCCCUCUCCAAUCCAGGAAGAAAGCAUUCCUAUUGCAUUAACUGGUAGUGAUAUUCUUGCUAGAGCAAAAAAUGGAACUGGCAAGACUGCUGCAUUUUGUAUUCCUGCACUGGAAAAGAUCGACCAGGACAAAAAUGCUAUUCAAGUUGUUAUAGUUGUUCCCACAAGGGAAUUGGCUCUACAGACAUCGCAAGUUUGCAAAGAGCUUGGCAAGCACCUGAAGAUCCAAGUUAUGGUCACCACUGGUGGAACUAGCCUGAAGGAUGACAUUGUUCGUCUAUAUCAACCUGUCCAUUUACUUGUUGGAACGCCUGGACGUAUUUUGGACCUUACGAAGAAAGGUGUUUGCAUCUUGAAGGACUGUUCAAUGCUUGUUAUGGACGAGGCAGACAAGCUUCUCUCUCCUGAAUUUCAACCUUCCAUAGAGCAGUUGAUCCGUUACCUUCCAGCGAGUCGACAGAUUUUAAUGUUUUCAGCAACAUUCCCUGUGACUGUCAAGGAGUUCAAGGAUAAAUAUCUGCCUAAACCUUAUGUUAUUAACCUCAUGGAUGAACUUACACUGAAGGGAAUUACACAAUUCUAUGCUUUCGUAGAAGAAAGGCAAAAAGUUCAUUGUCUUAACACCCUCUUUUCCAAGCUUCAAAUAAAUCAGUCAAUAAUAUUCUGCAACUCUGUAAAUCGUGUUGAGCUAUUAGCGAAAAAGAUCACGGAGCUUGGUUACUCUUGCUUCUACAUCCAUGCAAAGAUGCUGCAGGACCACCGUAACAGAGUAUUCCAUGAUUUCCGCAAUGGGGCAUGCAGGAACCUUGUUUGUACAGAUCUUUUCACAAGGGGGAUAGAUAUUCAAGCUGUUAAUGUUGUUAUCAAUUUUGAUUUCCCCAAGAGCUCUGAAACGUAUCUCCACAGGGUUGGUAGAUCUGGGAGAUUCGGUCACCUUGGUUUGGCUGUGAAUUUGAUCACCUACGAGGAUCGCUUUAACUUGUAUAGGAUUGAGCAGGAGCUCGGAACUGAGAUAAAACCAAUUCCCCCUCAGAUAGACCAGGCCAUAUAUUGCCAAUGA